rnacentral:rRNA from 1 species
CCUACGGGUGGCAGCAGUAGGGAAUCUUCCACAAUGGGCGAAAGCCUGAUGGAGCAACGCCGCGUGGGUGAAGAAGGUCUUCGGAUCGUAAAACCCUGUUGUUAGAGAAGAAAGUGCGUGAGAGUAACUGUUCACGUUUCGACGGUAUCUAACCAGAAAGCCACGGCUAACUACGUGCCAGAAGCCGCGGUAAGACGUAGGUGGCAAGCGUUAUCCGGAUUUAUUGGGCGUAAAGGGAACGCAGGCGGUCUUUUAAGUCUGAUGUGAAAGCCUUCGGCUUAACCGGGGUAGUGCAUUGGAAACUGGGAGACUGGAGGGCAGAAGAGGAGAGUGGAACGCCAUGUGUAGCGGUGAAAUGCGUAGAUAUAUGGAAGAACACCAGUGGCGAAGGCGGCUCUCUGGUCUGUAACUGACGCUGAGGUUCGAAAGCGUGGGUAGCAAACAGGAUUAGAUACCCUUGUAGUC